GAAUAAGAAGCGAUAUAUUGCAGUCAGUUUCGACCUGGCCUUAGGUACUUUUUACCCUUAUUCU
rnacentral:tRNA from 1 species